ACGGGUGCGUAACACGUAGAUAAUCUGCCCUUCAGCGGGGGAUAACGUUCCGAAAGGAGCGCUAAUACCGCAUACAGCAGUUGGUGGUUCGCCAUCGAUUGGCAAAGGCUGGGAUUCGCAAGAACCAGCCACUGGAGGAGGAGUCUGCGGCCCAUCAGCUAGUUGGUAAGGUAAUGGCUUACCAAGGCAAAGACGGGUAGCUGGUCUGAGAGGAUGAUCAGCCACACUGGUACUGGAACACGGACCAGACUCCUACGGGAGGCAGCAGUGGGGAAUCUUGGUCAAUGGGCGCAAGCCUGAACCAGCGACGCCGCGUGAGUGAUGAAGGCCUUCGGGUUGUAAAGCUCUGUGGGGAGAGACGAAAGAAUCGGUUCUAACAGGACCGAAGUUGACGGUAUCUCCUUAGCAAGCACCGGCUAACUCUGUGCCAGCAGCCGCGGUAAGACAGAGGGUGCAAACGUUGCUCGGAAUCACUGGGCGUAAAGGGCGUGUAGGCGGGUAGAUAAGUCGGGCGUGAAAUCCCUAGGCUCAACCUAGGGACUGCACUCGAAACUGUUUAUCUUGAGUGCCGGAGAGGAAAGCGGAAUUC
rnacentral:rRNA from 1 species